UGAAAAAAAAGGAUUUUUUGGUGUAGUAAUAUUUAUUAGGUUAACUGUCAUAAUUUUUACUUUCUAAUUGUAAGUAUCAGUGAGAACUGGAAUUAUUCAAGUAAAACUAUAUAUGUCAUUCAAGUAAUAAAUAAACUGUGUGGGAUGAGUACGUUUUAUUAUGUAUUUUCAAGUAAUAUUCAAAGGUUUCAUAGUCAUUGCACAUGAACUUAGAAAUGCCAAGUAAGUUUAACUAGUGUUGGUGUUUGGAAUCCGCGCAUGCGCCUUGUGAUGCGCAUACAGGAAGCAUGCGCUCCGUUUUCCGGCAAAACACAAGAAGACGACAACGACGGUCAGGUUUAAUGGAGGCAGGAGCACCUAAAUUAUCUUGAAGCGACACGUUGAAGCGAGACGGGAGGCUAUUAUUCGCGCCCUGAUGGAAUUCCUGGGGGAGUCUUCAGGUGAACUCAAGGACUACAAGGAUAUCAGCAGAGAAGAAGCUCAAGAGGACCAGGCUUAGCAAGUCCUGAGGAUCUGUGUCUUCCACACAAGUGAAGAAGAUGACGGUGCAUCCAAAACUGAUGUGUUGAUUGUUAUUGAAGGGACUGAGGUACUUGACAAAUGUGGAAGUGUUGCAAAGGCCUGUCUCCUGCUCAUGGUCAUCAUAUAUGCCAUGAACCUGUGUUAUCCCCCAAAAACGCCUAACCCUUUUUAGUUUCAAGAUAUUCUGCACAGACGUUUAGAACCUCAGGGCAAAACACUGUUCUUUAAGAUCAAACGUUUUAAUGUUAAACCAAUAAUAAGCAUGUAUUUUAAGAUGCACUGAAGGUUCCUGAAGCAUGUCAAAUGUUUUUGUUGAGAGUUCAAGGUUAAAAAGCCUAUCCAAAAGAUAGGCUACAUAUUCUCUAUCCAAACAGUUCCUGAAUGUUUCCUUGUGCCUUUUACCAAGCUACCUCAAACCCAUUUUAGCCACUCUAAGAUGAAAUUUCUGUCAUCUACUCACCCCGAUGCCGAUAAGAUUGAAGUGUUGUCGAACAUUCGUGCUCUUCUGGGAGUUUGGAACACUGAUGGGUUUGCUGGAAGUUAGUAGUUAAGUUUGUGUGCAGUGUUGGAAAUUGUUUGAUUAAAAAUUGUUUUUCACUUGAAAAUAAAUGGGUUUUUAAAUUCAACAGUUGCCUCAUUUUUUUUGAAGCCAUUGUUUCAAUAAACAAAAACAUUAAGAACAAAUUUAGCAAAUUUACACUGCAGAAGAAUUAUGUAUAAUGUUGUGUAAAUGUUACUUAAAUAUAGUCCAUAAAUAAAAGUUAGAAAAAGUAUUUAGAAAUUACCUUGAAACGCCAUUGGUUUUAGGUGAGAUUUUUCAGUUCGAAGCUCUCAAGAGUUUAAGUAAAACUUACAAAGAAUGGGAGAGUAAAACUCAAUAACCAUAUUAAUAAACAACAGUAAAUUACUUGAGUUUUGCUAGUAAAAUAAACUUGAGAUCUGCAAGUAAAGUUUACUUGAUGAUUGCCCUUGUAGAAUUUACUUACAAUUGUAAGUGCAAAAACUUUCCUAAGUUUUCUCAAGUAAAUA